GGGUGACUAACGCGUGGAAAUCUGCAAUUCCGUACGGAAUAACGUUUGGAAACGAACGCUAAUACCGUAUACGCCCUACCGGGGAAAGGUCCGCCGCAGAAUGAGGAGUCCGCGUCCGAUUAUCUCCUUGGUAGGGUAAUGGCCUACCAAGGCGACGACCGGAAGCUGGUCUGAUAGGAAGAUCAGCCACUCUGGGACUGAGACACGGCCCCGACUCCUACGGGAAGAAGCACUGGGGAAUAUUGCACAAUGAGG
rnacentral:rRNA from 1 species